rnacentral:rRNA from 1 species
CCUACGGGAGGCAGCAGUGGGGAAUCUUAGACAAUGGGGAAACCCUGAUCUAGCCAUGCCGCGUGAUCGAUGAAGGCCUUAGGGUUGUAAAGAUCUUUCAGAUGGGAAGAUAAUGACGGUACCAUCAGAAGAAGCCCCGGCUAACUCCGUGCCAGCAGCCGCGGUAAUACGGAGGGGGCUAGCGUUAUUCGGAAUUACUGGGCGUAAAGCGCACGUAGGCGGAUCAGAAAGUCAGAGGUGAAAUCCCAGGGCUCAACCUUGGAACUGCCUUUGAAACUCCUGGU